rnacentral:rRNA from 1 species
AGUGAACGCUGGCGGUAGGCCUAACACAUGCAAGUCGAACGGCAGCACAGUAAGAGCUUGCUCUUACGGGUGGCGAGUGGCGGACGGGUGAGGAAUACAUCGGAAUCUACUUUUUCGUGGGGGAUAACGUAGGGAAACUUACGCUAAUACCGCAUACGACCUACGGGUGAAAGCAGGGGAUCUUCGGACCUUGCGCGAUUGAAUGAGCCGAUGUCGGAUUAGCUAGUUGGCGGGGUAAAGGCCCACCAAGGCGACGAUCCGUAGCUGGUCUGAGAGGAUGAUCGGCCACACUGGAAGGGGGACACGGUCCAGACUCCUACGGGAGGCAGCAGUGGGGAAUAUUGGACAAUGGGCGCAAGCCUGAUCCAGCCAUACCGCGUGGGUGAAGAAGGCCUUCGGGUUGUAAAGCCCUUUUGUUGGGAAAGAAAAGCAGCAGGUUAAUACCCCGCUGCUCUGACGGUACCCAAAGAAUAAGCACCGGCUAACUUCGUG